AAUUAUUGCAGCGGAAAACUUUUGUUGGUUUAAAACGAUGUUUGUACAAUGAAAGCGUUUUCAAUGAAAACCAUUUCGGAAAGUUCUUCAACUUAAGAUCAAACAAAAGUAUAGUUGAAGUAAAGCAACGGAGGUAGUUUGCAGUUAAGAUAGAGAGCAGAAUGUAAAUGCAAACUGAGAUUUAGAGUGGUUCAGUCAAUCUUGA
rnacentral:lncRNA from 1 species